CCGGCUAACUCCGUGCCAGCAGCCGCGGUAAUACGGAGGGUACAAGCGUUAAUCGGAAUUACUGGGCGUAAAGCGCACGCAGGCGGUUUGUUAAGUCAGAUGUGAAAUCCCCGGGCUCAACCUGGGAACUGCAUCUGAUACUGGCAAGCUUGAGUCUCGUAGAGGGGGGUAGAAUUCCAGGUGUAGCGGUGAAAUGCGUAGAGAUCUGGAGGAAUACCGGUGGCGAAGGCGGCCCCCUGGACGAAGACUGACGCUCAGGUGCGAAAGCGUGGGGAGCAAACAGGAUUAGAUACCCUGGUAGUCCACGCCGUAAACGAUGUCGACUUGGAGGUUGUGCCCUUGAGGCGUGGCUUCCGGAGCUAACGCGUUAAGUCGACCGCCUGGGGAGUACGGCCGCAAGGUUAAAACUCAAAUGAAUUGACGGGGGCCCGCACAAGCGGUGGAGCAUGUGGUUUAAUUCGAUGCAACGCGAAGAACC
rnacentral:rRNA from 1 species